AGCGUAGACGGUGUGGCAAGUCUGAUGUGAAAGGCAUGGGCUCAACCUGUGGACUGCAUUGGAAACUGUCAUACUUGAGUGCCGGAGGGGUAAGCGGAAUUCCUAGUGUAGCGGUGAAAUGCGUAGACAUUAGGAGGAACACCAGUGGCGAAGGCGGCUUACUGGACGGUAACUGACGUUGAGGCUGAAAGCGUGGGGAGCAAACA
rnacentral:rRNA from 1 species